GCCCUGGUAGCUCAUAGGAGAGAGCAGCGGUCUACUAAACCGAUGGUUGCUGGUUCGAGUCCAGUGCAGGGCG
rnacentral:tRNA from 1 species